rnacentral:lncRNA from 1 species
CAUCGCCUCCUAUGCACUUCUUCCUUGGGACCCGUUCACUAGUUGCUUAGGUUUUGCCACUUGCAAUACAGAGAUUCUCAAGAGGAAGUGGUCCGGGUAAUGCCUUGGUGUUGCAGACACGUUGUUACUAUUUUUCGUAUCACUUUUUACUAUUUUCAUAUGCAAAGUAAAGCUAGAUUCGUUUAUCUCUUUGGCUUCAUACAAGGUUUACAUAGUUGAAUAUUCAUCCUGAACUUUGUGAUUACUGUCCACUUGUCCAGAUAUACUCCAAGUAAGGCUUGGAGUCCCAGAGUCAUCACCAACUGUUACGGGCUUACUACCAAGAGAAAGUUACGCAAACUCGUGAAUAUGGUAAAAAAAGUUGUUAAAAUUUUUAUGAUAUGCAUGUACAUAAAACUUUCAAAUGAUUAUUUGAUGAAAAGUGUUUUAGUGUUUACUCUGGUUAAUGAAGUAAUGGCACUGAGAAACAUAGACUUGGAAAACAUAGGGACGGUGGGUGUUAUAGGACCCAACUCGAAUCCGCCAAGUGUAGUCUUGAGUCUUAAGAUUAGGAUUUACCUGACUCACACGUUGAAAGGCAUUUUGGAGUCCAACUGAGAAAAUGCUAAUUAUAUCCCAAGUUCGUAAAUGGUAUGUAGGAGAAUUUUUACUUGAUUAGGUAACUGUAAAGUUUUGAGCUACACUCGUGUAAAGCACCUUUGCUUGCUAGUUUCUCGUAAAUGCAAGCUAUUUGGUGACCUAAUCAUGUGGUCAGCAUCUUGGGUUUGCUUAUACUAGUAACCAUUAGUCCAUUAAUUAGUACUUUGAGUUGCCUUUCUCGUGUUAUGCGCAAAAAUGUUUACUACGUGGAAGCUACAGGAUAUGAUGAUACUCUCAGGUUUGAGGACUAGCUCCAGUUACGCUUUUGGGUCCAGUAGAUGUACGAUACCCAUUUUGUGGUCCAAAAAGAAUGAGAUUUGCUGAACGCUCUAGUGGCCAAAUUCAUGUGGCUUCCUUCACUCUACGCCUCUAGAGCUGAAAAGUUAGAUUUCUGUAUAAAAUGCUGGUCCUAGGAUACACUUUUCGCAUCUCUGCCUCUUUCAUUUUUGCUUACAUCGCACUUCUCUUUCCCAUAUGGUAAAUUUAAACUUUGAAAAUGUUUUUUUGGCUUGGUAAUUUGAACUUAACAAUUUUUUCUUGUUAAUUACUAGUUUUUAUGAGGAGUGUAAUGGCAUGUAGAAAUGUUAUGAAAUGAUUUCAUGAUCAUUGAAUUCUAAAAAAAAAGAUUCAAGGUUCCUUACAUUAGUAAACAUAUCGAGAGAUCUUUAUCCUGCCAAAUUGGAUAAGUUGAGGAAUGUUUGCCUUUGAGUGCUUUGUUGAUGGAUUUUUUUUGGAGAUUUAUGUGGUUCGAGUUCAUGAAGAGUAAAUUGUGUAUUGGCCUUUUUCACUUGUAGUUCAAGUAAUAGGUAUGUAUCUCGCUUAUUAUUGCUCUCUGAAAAUCUGCAAGUUCAUUGUUGUUGCGGUUUGGAACUUCUGUCACAUGUGUAGGCCUUCGGAUAACAUGAAACUUGCAUCGAGAAUUUCUGGAGGCAAAAUAUAUUGCUUAUUGUGAUUCAUUUCAACAGAUUGAGGAAAGAAAAGUACAUUGCUUAUUAGUUUUCAUUGUUUAUCAGUUUUUGUGGUUGCUAAUACUUCACUUCUUUCAGAGUUUUGGAAAUCCUAUUUCAUUGCAAAGAGUGAAAAGAGAACAAGAGUCUAGGGACCAUAUAAAGCUUGUAGUUGUACGUUUUGUGCAGAUUCUCCCACUUUUCAUGGCUGUGACUGUGAGCAUCAGAGGAAAAGUGCAAAAGUGCAAAAGUGCAGUGACCUUCGGCUAAAGGUAAUCGCUUUUAUGCACUUUCACGUGAUAUCUCGAAUCCAUCACCAAAUACUGACAUUCUGUUGGCUCUUAAAUUCGUUUGUGCUUCAACUGGUUGUCUUUGCAUCUUAAAAUUUCCUGACAAGAAAUUUAGUAGAGACUUUACUACUACUUGAAGUUUCCUUGUUGAUGAUAUGCUAGUAUUAUAUGCAACUGGCGAUACCUUUGAUUUGCUUGCUAAUAUUAAUAUGUUUGGUGCAUGAUCAAACCAGAUCGCAGAAUAGGUUUUCUGGUGAUCUGAGAACUUGCUGCUGUAAACACUUUUGGCUUCAGUGAAUGCAUUUAUGUGGUCCAAUACAACAUCUUUUACAACAAACUGAUAGGUAAAUUCAUAUGGAUCUUACCCUGACUCAGUUCUGGCUUACAUAGUGGUAGAUAAGUUGAGGUCUAUGGCCCUUUCCAGGUGGCAAAAAGUGAAGGCCUUACAGUGUCACCCUUUUCCUUUCGCUGCCUCGUUAUUCUUUUGUAAAAGUGAGCCAUUAUUCUAAAAGAUAGCAAAAGAGGUCGAUUUCUCAUACUGAAUAUCUUUUAUUCAUUUGGAUGGUCCAUAGGCAUUGACAUAUUCUGCUAGAACUUGGUUGUGAAUGGUGGAAUCUUGUUAGCAGAGAGAACCACGUGGGAAUGGAUUUGGCACCAAUGUUAAUCAGGCAAAAGAAUAUGCUUCAAUGUAAACUAUACCUAGCAGCUUUGUGCAAUAUCGGGGUUAUUGGUUGUUAGCCAUCUGACUCCAACUUUAUCUGAGCACAUUAUGUGAUGUUAGUCUCUGUAAUCUACUUGGAUUCUCAUGUUGAGUAAAAACCUUAUUUUCUCAGGGAUGGAUGAAAGUGGAAUCGUUUAUAUUCUACGUGAUCAAGUGUCAGCAAGAAAGGAAUCAAUAGUUAUUUUCGUACAUUUGGAAACGUGUUAAAUGUUCUUGCCUUCUUGGUACAGCCUGCCCAGGUAAACCUUAUCUCUUCAUAGCAUCAAAAUUUUAAUUAGACUGAAUAGCAGAGUUACAUGUGGAUGUGGUGGUAAUAUUUCAUAGAUAGUACGAUUUCUACCAAAGUGGGAAAAUUUUGUUUUAGCUACAGCAGCAAAAUAUGAAUAGAUCUAAUUGGUUGGUACUAGUUAGACAAAACUAUAGACGUAUAUAUGCAUUACAAUGGUAAUAACUAAGCAUGCAAUAUAGUUUUGCCUUAGAAGCAUCAUAAUGAAGGAACAAUUCCAUAUCCGGUAUCAAACGUUAUCGUCGUGGAGAAGGUUUGAUCUGCCUCUGCAUCAGCUUCAUUCCUUUUUGCAAAGCGGCCCUUGAUCCGUGGUCUUUUCUCUGCGUAUGCUUUCCGCGAAGCAUAUCGUAUAGUCUUCUCAAAUUUCCUCAUCUUCUUCUUCUCUCUGUAUCUCAGGACCCUAGCCUCUCUCUCCACUGGACUGAGCAUCUGAGGUGGAGGUUCAGUUAGUUGGUCUGUUACAGCUUUGGGCGAUCUUGGUUGAGAUACUGUUGCAUCACUCGUUGUUGACUCUGGCACAACUAUGAG